rnacentral:rRNA from 1 species
CCUACGGGCGGCAGCAGUGGGGAAUAUUGCACAAUGGGCGCAAGCCUGAUGCAGCCAUACCGCGUGUGUGAAGAAGGCCUUCGGGUUGUAAAGCACUUUCAGCGGGGAGGAAGGCGUUAAGGUUAAUAACCUUGGCGAUUGACGUUACCCGCAGAAGAAGCACCGGCUAACUCCGUGCCAGCAGCCGCGGUAAUACGGAGGGUGCAAGCGUUAAUCGGAAUUACUGGGCGUAAAGCGCACGCAGGCGGUCUGUCAAGUCGGAUGUGAAAUCCCCGGGCUCAACCUGGGAACUGUAUUCGAAACUGGCAGGCUAGAGGCUUGUAGAGGGGGGUAGAAUUCCAGGUGUAGCGGUGAAAUGCGUAGAGAUCUGGAGGAAUACCGGUGGCGAAGGCGGCCCCCUGGACAAAGACUGACGCUCAGGUGCGAAAGCGUGGGGAGCAAACAGGAUUAGAUACCCGAGUAGUC